rnacentral:lncRNA from 10 species
AAAGUUAGAACCAUUCAUUUCCCCAGUAACACAUUAUUCAAAAGCCAAAAUCACGGUCAAACAAAUAGACCCCAAAAAAUGCAUUUGAAUGGGAAUUUCACUUGGGUCUUCUAGAAGGGACACCUUGCCUGUUUCACGACAAUCCCAUAAGGGACGUACUGUGCUUGUAUUUAUCCUCCAUUUUACAGGUGGGGAAACCGAGAUACAUACCAGUGUAUUACCCUUCUGAAAAACAAGGCAUUUUAAAUUUGAAAGCACAACUGGCCUCAUGGCUUUAGAUAAGGGAUUGUGGACCUAUAAUAACUAACUCGCUGGGUUGUGGUCUGGAUUAAAUGUGAUGAUGUAUGUCAAGGCCCUGGCACAUAUUCAGUUCUCUAUAAGGGGCAGUUAUUACUAUUAGAAGGAAUAAUUAAUUUUAGUUGGUAAAAUUUCUAAGGUGUCUUGGAGGAUGCAGGAUUAUAAAGAUCCUUGUGGCAAGACCACUCAAGACAAAGGAAAUUGCUUCAGCCAAGUUAAUUGUGUGAUGGUGGAGGGUGUAUUCUGGGAAUGUGAAAUAAGGAGAUGGUACUGGAUUUGAGGAUUACAGAAGAGAUGAGGCCAGAAAGCUUGGUUGGUGCUACAAAUUGUGGAUAGCUUGUUGACAUGUAACACCAGGAGGCCUAAAAGCUUGGAUCUAUGGUUGUGGGGGAGCGGAGUUGAAAUUUAAUGAAGGUCGGACAUGGGAAUACAGAAAAAAUAGAACGUUAGGAAGACUGGGAGGCUCAACCAGGAUUUGGCAACCAAUAUUGGGUAGGGGAGGGUGAGAGGGGGAUUCUGGAGCUGAAAUGUUUCUGAGACUUCAAGUAUGACUCACAUCUAGCACAGUUAUGACUUGAGAUCCAGUGCUUCCAUGAAGAAAAGGACUAGGCUUGUAUGGAAGGAUAAGUUCAAUUCAGGAUGUGCUGAGUCUGAGAUGGAUACAGAACAACUGAUCAGAAAUACAGGCCUGGGGCUGGGAGAUGAGUCAGCUGGAGGCAGAAGGGGAGUUGUCCCCUAAAAGAUCACAGUGAAACUACCCAAGUAGAUGAGAUCAUUGAGAAAGUACAUGUAGCAUGAGGCAAAUACUAUCAAUAUUAGUAAGCAUUACAGGGAUGUGCAUGUGCUUGGGGGACCUUGUAGUGGGAAGGGCAUCAUACAAAAUUAAAACAUCUGCACCUAAGUCCUUCCUGGGCUUUCAUAUGUAUACUCUCAUUAAUCAAUCUUUAACACAUAACAUUGUGAGGUAGAAAAAAGAGAGAAGAAGGGCAAGCGUUUGUGAAGGUUCAUAUUUUUGAGGUUAGGAAGAAGAGGAACUAGAAAAAGAAAGAAAGAUCAAGUUUUUAUAAAGUUGUAGUAAACCUCCAACAGCCAACUUAUCAUUGUCAGACAGAGAUCCUGCCUCCAAUAUUCUUGAACCUUAAAUGAAGAUCAGGACUCAUACCUAAGAUGUGUGUAACAAGCUAAGGGGACAUUUGAAAAGUGCCAAGUACAAGGCAUAGAUGACAAACACUAAUCAUGGAUUGGGCUGGAUUUGGUCCAGGAAGACUCAGAGGGAAAACAUGUGGGCUGAGUCUUGAAGGACAGCAGGGCUUGGAGGAGUGGAGAGAGCAGAACAAUGCAGACCAGGGGGACCCACAGCCCUAAAGGCCAAGAAUUUCCUUCCUUCCUUCCUUCCUUCCUUCCUUCCUUCCUUCCUUCCUUCCUUCCUUCCUUCCUUCCUUCCUUUCCUUCCUUCCUUUCCUUCUUUCUCAGAGCCUCACUCUGUCACCCAGGCUGGAGUGCAGUGGUGCAAUCUCGACUCACUGCAACCUCCGCCUCCCGGGUUCAAGCGAUUCUCAUACCUCAGCCUCCUGAGUAGCUGGGAUUACAGGCAUGCACCACCAUGCCUGGCUAAUUUUUGUUUUUUUAGUAGAGACGGGGUUUCACCAUGUUGGCUGGGCUGGUCUCGAACUCCUGACCUCAUGUGAUCCGCCCACCUUGGCCUCCUAGGCUUGAGCCACUGUGUCCUGCCGAAGCCAAGAAUUUUCUCUGACCUCAUAUUUACAACCAAUGUGUACCAGAAAGUCUCAUACAAACUCACAAUGCUUACAUACUUAUGUGGUCAUCAGAUAUGGCACAACAGUGGCUUUGAUUUUCCUUUUAUACAGGAGCACAUUUCAGCUUUUCUUCCAGUUUCCUAUUUAUUUUAGUUCCAAUGUUUAGUUAAUACCUUUGAUUUUUAAACAUUAACUCUUCUAAUGUCAGAUUCUAUGGCAUUCUGAAUUAUUGACAUUAUGCCUGAAGAUUUUAAAAGAACAACUAAUUCUCAAUUACUUCCAGUUUACUGGUCUGAAUGUUGCUCCCCUCCACCUGCAACUUAGGAGGGACCUUGGAGCAAGGUCGUGUCCCAGAUUGUUGAGGACGUUUGCUGCUCCUUGGCUUCCCAGCUCCUGUUCCUCUUUCUAAGAGCACUGUGAGUUGCUUGUUGGGAACUAAUGGCUCCUCACUGUGGCAGUCCCAGUGGGACUGCUAGUUAAGGAAACUUGCUUCUUGCCAAGAGAGUUGGCCAAUCAAAUUUUAUUCUAGACUAGUGUAUCUUGAGCAGGGUAAGUCAAGGACUGUGUAAAAAAAAAAAAAAAAAAAAAAAAAAAAAGGACCAGGAUUUCAACAAUGAUGCUCUGAAGAGAUCAUCAACCACUUUCUACCCCAGGGCUGCUCUUUCUGAGUCUCACUCUUCAGGUUGUUUUUUCAUUCUGGGAGCUGUCCCACAUCUUUCUCUUCUCUCUUAACUUAGCCAGGGUCAGUUUCCAUUGUUUAUAAAAACCAAAACAAAGCAAAACUCAUUCACUGACCUGACCGGAAAACGUGAUAUUUUCAAUUGUCUGCCAAAGUUCCCCCCACUGAUGUGGAAAAUCAAGAGUGAUAAGGAUGGUUAAAAGAGAAUAAUUGAGAUAUUGCGACAAAUGAUACUUUGUUGGUUUCUCUUUCAGUUACUUGAAUCACUGUCGACACACUUGCUUGAAGAAGACACUGGAGAGCCAUUCUGUCACCCAGGCAGGAGUGCAUUCAUGAUAGGUAGCCUUACUAUGCGGUUCUAGUCUGUACCCUGCUAUCUUUUCCAGGGGAUGGUUUGUGUAGAGCAUGUAGAGUGGCUCCUGUGUUCUCUGGCUUCCUGGUUGAGUUUCGUCCUCCCUCUGCCUUGAGAGAGUAGGGUCUGGGUGUGAGUUCUCUUAGCUACCACCUUAAGAGGUUGCUUCAGUCUGUCUAUGCCUAGUGGUGUGCUAGUAAAUGUUUAACUGGCUUUCUGCAAAAAAAAAAAAAAAAGUUCUGGUUUACAGUAUUUGCUGAUUACCAUGGUACCGUAUUCCCACCAUGACCGAUUUUAGGCUACCAGUGUGACAUCAUUGAAUACAAGUUGGGAAAAGAUGCAGUCAGCUCUCAUGUGUCCUAUGAGGUGGCUCCAGCACAUAGCUGUGUGUGUGUCUCCCAGCAUGACUCCUCUCAAGGUGGCCCUGCACUCCACAAUUCUUUCUCCUUCGAGCUCUAGGAACUUGCAUGAUCCCUUUGUGGUCUGCCUAAUCCCUGCACAUAUCUUUGUAAAUUGUCCCUUUGUAAGAAAACAAACUGUUCAUACACAUCCACUCACGUGUGCAUGAGAAAUUUCACAAAUUACCCUAAUUUGAAAGUGCCAUCACAUGGUGGUGGUAACUAGCCUCCAAGGUGGCCCCUAGUGAUAUCUUUCCUGGUACUCAUGAACUUGUGUAGUCCUCUCCCAUAAUGUAUCAGACUUGGUCAAUGUGACCAGUAGAAUAUGGCAGAAGUGAUGAUGCGUUACUUCUGAGAUUAGAUCCUAAAAAUCACUGCAGCUUCCUUCUUGUUCACAUUCUCUCUCUCUCUCUCUCUCUCUAUCUCCUCACCCCCUCUCUCUCCCCAUUCCCUACCACCACCUCCCUGUCUCAGAGUCUCUCUGGAAUUCUCACUUUGGGGAAGCCAGCUUCUGUGUCAAGCAGUCCCAUGGAGAGACCCACAUGGUAAGGAACUAAGGUCUGCAACAACCAUGUGAGCGAGACUGAAAGCAGCUCCUCCAACCCUAGUCCGAACUUAGAUGACUACAACACCUGCCAACAGGCUGACUGCAACCUCUUGAAAGACUGAGCCAGAACUAGAGUAACAUGAAGAGCCUCAAUGAAUUGGCUGAGCCUGUGGAAGAGGAAAGCAAGCAAGUUCUCAAGCCAAGGCUCCCCUCCAAACCUACUGAAUCAAAUAACGCUGGGAGCAAGACUUUGGCAUGCAUGUUAAAACUUCCACAUUUGAUUUUGCUGCAUAGCCAGGAUUGAAAACCACAGAUAUGUAAAAUGCUAAGUGUUAUUCCAGGCCCUUUACAAUGUCUGCCUGGUUUAAUUACAUGUGUUUAAAUAUGAGGUCAAAUGUAAAUAAUUUUUGGAAGAUCUGCCACUUUGGAUUUUUCAUUCCACUGUUUUUUCUCUGAGUAUGGAUAAUUGAGAACUACUCACUCAGAGAAGUGAAGAGCAUGUGAAAUAACAUAAUCUGUAUGGAAGUCAUUCAUUCACAAUUAAUCAAUAGAUACAUACACUCAGGUAAUCAAUAUAUUGAAAUUUAUUGCUUAACCAAACUGUUUAAACCAUCUUAGAAUAUCUGUAGGCCACAGAACAGAGCUUGAAAUCAGAUUCUAUUAAGACAGAAUUAAAAGUGUCAAUGAAAAAAAAAGCAAUGCAUCAAAGAUUCACCAUUGCUUACCAUAGCAAUUCUAUUUCAUUUUACAGUGAAAGUAAAAUUAAGGCACUGAAAAUGAGAUCGAAACAUUAAGGAAAGACUAUGAGUUUUUCUUUUUAUGGAGAGUUUAGAAAAGAUUAUAAAUUCACCACAAGGAAAAUGAGAACAUUAACACAGGCCAGUGACGAGAUUUCAAGAAACUUAUUUUUAAAAAUAAAAAGAGAUGAUGUCUUUCUCAUCAAAAUUACUGAAUUAUAUGGCUAGGGCUUAAAAUUCAUUAUUUUUAAAAAGGAGCAUGGAAGUCAGGGCAUAAAUGUAAAUUCAGUAGUUUUUAAUAUUAUCAUUCAUGGUGUGCUAUAGUAGAAUAAUAUCUUUAAGCUCAUUAAAGCUAUUAUAGUUAAUUAUAAUUUUAAUAAUUAUUCAUAAUAUACUUAAAAAUAUGUUACUUGAUGAUUUCUUCUUUAAAAAGUUUACUAAAAUGACUUUAUAGUACUCGUGUGUGUCAGUCAGGGUUUAAUCAGAGAAGCCAACCAAUAGGAUAUAUAUAUUGAGAUUUAUUACAAUGAAUUGGCUUACAUGAUUACAGUGGCUGGCUAGACAAGUGUGAAAUUUAUAGGGCAGGCUGUCAGAAAGGUGCAGGCAGUCCAUAAGCAGAAUUUCUUCUUCUUCUGGGAAAUCUUGGCUCUGCUGCUAACACUUUUCAACUGACUGACUCACAACCAGACUAUCUAAGAUAUUCUCCCUUGCUUAAAGUCAACUGUAGAUGUUACACAUCUACAAAAUACCUUCACAGCAAAUCCUAGAUUCAUGUUUGAUUGAAUAACUUGGGACAAAUGACACCUAAAACUGGCCAUUGCAACUUGGUAUUUGAUUUAAUGCAUUGUAAUGUUAAGAUAAUAUGUGGCAUGUUAUAGCAUUGACUUAAAUAUAAGUAAGUCAAAUCAUGUCCUACUAAUUCACUGUACUGGAAAGAGGUCUUAACUACAUACCCAGAAACCUCCUGGGUUCUAGAACUGUCUUUAUGACCUUUGAAGACUUACUCAUUUUCUCUGAAUCUUGUUUCCUCAUGUAUAAAAUAAGAUAGUUGGAUUAAAGUCCCUUUCAGAUCUAACAUUUAUAAGUAAUUAUGUCAACCACAUAAAAAAUACAUAUAUAGCAUGGUUACUACUUAAGUCAACAUCAAUUCUAUAUCACUAUUUGACAGAAGAUACAAAAUCAGUGAAAUAUAUCUUCCAUUUAUAGAAACACAUAUUAUAUAUUUAUGUGAUGAAUAUAGGUUUUUUUACCCUAAAAUUUGUGGCAGUGUUCUAACUAUAUAGAAAUCGCUUGCUAUAUCAGUGAUUAUACAACAUAGAAGUCUUUUGGUUGCAAGAAACAGAAAUUUCAGCUCAAAAUGGGUUAAGCAAAAAAUGGAAUUGUUGACUUGAAUGAAUAGUUCAGGCUAGUCUACUUCCAAUAUGAUCCAGAACUCAAGAUUCACAAGGAUCCACACCUUAUCUUUAUUUCCUUAUUAUUAAUGCCAUUCUCAGCCUCCACAUGGGAGCCUCCCACUGGCUCCAGACUCACCACCAUGGAUGCAGAAGUCCCAAACUUCACUGUGCAACUUUUAACCUCUAAUUCUAAUCAUAACAGUAGAUCAUGGAAUAUCUUUUAACAGUCAUUAUUUUGUGUCACAAAUUUCUAAGCGUAAGGAAUAGAUGCAUUCUAGAUAGAAAAAAAAAAUUUUGUGGUCUCAAUGCCUAUUGCUGGAUCCUUAACCUCUUUCUGUUUAUUUUGGGUAAAGGAACUCAUAUUCUCAAUGGACCUUUCUAUCUAGGAUUUACAUCUUGAUUGUGGAUCUACUUUCUGAAUUCAUCUGACUGCAAGCUAUCCCUGCCACAAGAACGUCCUAGUGUACUUUCAUAUUUAACUAUUUGUCUUUGCCUAAAGUCGUGUGUUUUUUUCUAACCUUCCUAGUUUGGAUCAUUCCUCCUCGUCUAACUCAUGAAGAAAGCCUGGUUAGGAUAAGAUGUUCAUUAAUAAAACCUCAAGGUGAAAUUGGGAAUACAGUAGCCCCUGUUAUUUGCAGUUUCAUUUUCUGAGGUUUCAAUUACCUGGGGUCUACAACAGUUCAAAAAUAUUAAUGGAAAAUUGUAGAAAUAAACAAUAAAUUUUUGAAUUGUGCACCACUCUGAGUAGCAUGGUGAAAUUUUGCACUGCCCUGCUCUGUCC